rnacentral:rRNA from 1 species
GAAAAAGUUACGAAGGGCGUAUGGGGGAUGCCUUGGCUUCCGGGAGCGAAGAAGGACGUGGUAAGCUGCGAAAAUCGCCGGGGAUUAGCAAACAUGAGUUGAUCCGGCGGACUCCGAAUGGGGAAACCCGGAGA